AUUGAACGCUGGCGGCAGGCCUAACACAUGCAAGUCGAGCGGAUGAAGGGAGCUUGCUCCUGGAUUCAGCGGCGGACGGGGGAGUAAUGCCUAGGAAUCUGCCUGGUAGUGGGGGAUAACGUCCGGAAACGGUCGCUAAUACCGCAUACGUCCUGAGUGAGAAAGUGGGGGGUCUUCUGACCGCACGCUAUCAGAUAAGCUUAGGUCGGAUUAGCUAGUUGGUGGGGUAAAGGCGUACCAAGGCGACGAUCCGUAACUGGGCUGAGAGGAUGAUCAGUCACACUGGAACUGAGCUACGGCACAGACUACUCGGGGAGGCAGCGGUGGGGAAUAUUGGACAAGGGGCGAAAGGAUGAUCCAGCCCUGCCGAGUGGCUGAAGAAGGGAUUCGGAUUUUAAAUGUAUUCAAGUUGGGAGGAAGGGUAGUAAGUUAAUACCGUGAUGUUUUGAAGUUACCAAAAGAAUAAGCACCGGCUAACUCCGUG
rnacentral:rRNA from 1 species